ACAAAACCCUUAUUUCUCUGUACACAGACCCAUAAGUAUCAGUUAGUAAAUACUCAGAACACUUGUUGGUGUUUUUGUAACUUUUGGUGCUUUUCUUUCAGAAAAUGAAUAUUGUGUUCCUGGUCUUUGCUUUUGUGGCUGUGAUCGGUGCAGCACCAGUACCAGACAGUGAUGCUUCACCUGAAACACCCACAGGUGAGGGACGGAAUGUGAGAGCCCUGGGAAAUGAUGCGAUGAACCUGACACAUUUUGGGAAUGGGGUCCUGUCAAUCGAGCAUACGGAGGACAGAUGUUUGUUGUUCACAUGUAAAUGAAGAAUGGAAAUGUCAGCAUAAUCAACACCUGAUCUUUGUUAUGAUCACCUCACUUAUGAUGAUAAUAAAUACCCUUUGAGCAUUGUC